rnacentral:rRNA from 1 species
AUUGAACGCUGGCGGCAGGCCUAACACAUGCAAGUCGAACGAGUGGCGGACGGGUGAGUAAUGUCUGGGAAACUGCCCGCUGGCGGGGGAUAACUCCUGGAAACGGUAGCUAUUACCGCAUACCAUCGGAUGUGCCCCGAUGGGAUUAGCUCGUAGGUGGGGUAACGGCUCACCUAGGCGCCGAUCCCUCGCUGGUCUGAGAGGAUGACCAGCCACACUGGAACUGAGACACGGUCCAGACUCCUACGGGAGGCAGCAGUGGGGAAUAUUGCACAAUGGGAACAAGCCUGAUGCAGCCAUGCCGCGUGUAUGAAGAAGGCCUUCGGGUUGUAAAGUACUUUCAGCGAGGAGGCGUUACUCGCAGAAGAAGCACCGGCUAACUCCGUGCCAGCAGCCGCGGUAAUUC